GGGCUACCCACUCCAGUAUUCUGGCCUGGAGAACUCCCUGGAUUGUAUAGUCCAUGGGGUCGCAAAGAGUUGGACACGACUGAGCGACUUUCACUUUCUUUCAAAUUGCACAGGCUCCUCUACAAAAUGGAUGGGGCUGCCUUGCCAGCCGGAGCCUGAAAAUGUGCCCAGGUGUACAGAACCCCAAGUCCCUGGACAACCUGUGAAAUGCUAGCUGCCUGUGAACAGAUGAAAGGGAGGACAGGCAACUGUCCUGGAAAGAAGGAUCUGCAGACGGGACCUCCCUCAACUUUGACCAUGUACAUCUCAGGGUCUGCUUUCCCGGUCUGACCCCUCCCAGUGACAGCAGAGCUGUGAACCCAGGAACACUGACAGCCAAGAAAAGUGGCAUCAUCAAACCCCUCCCACCGCCUCUUCUCUCCUCUCAUGGCCAUUUUCAACAUCAAAGAAUAAUAAACUACUACACUGCACAUCUGAAACUCACAUAAUAUUUCAAAUCAACUAUGCUUCAGUUUUGAAAAAUUUAUAAAGAAUAAAAAUGCUGUAAAAGAAAUGCCCCCCAGGAGUUUUAGUAAAGGGUCUGAAACCUAUAAUUUGAUCCCCAGUUCCAUUCCAUCUGCCAAAGCUGUGACGGACCCUGCGGUCAAGACAGUGGGCCAGCCAUCUGCUUGCAACCAUACCAUGAUUACAGGUUGUUCCUAAGAGUUGGUAUAACUAGAGGGUUAGGCUCAAGGAGACUCACAGUAGCAUUACUGAUUGCCAACCAUGUUCUAGGCUUUGCCCUAAGGGCUUUAUGUACUUGCAACAAAUUUGUGAGCCUGGAAUUAUUCUUACAAAUGUUUUAGGAAUUGGAGACUGGACUCAGAAGCAUUAAAUGCAAGAUUGCCCAGCCAAAAAAAUAGCAGGAAGGGAUUUGAACCUAGAUCUGUCUUGGGCUAAAAAUCUGUGCUUUAAAAAAAUAAAUAAAAUUAAACAAAACAUAACAAAACAAAACGUUUAUUAUGGAAAAUUUCUAACAUACAUAAAACCACCGCAAACUAGUAACGUGAACUGCCAUAUACCCCUCACCAAGUUAUAAUGACCAUUAACAC
ensembl:lncRNA